rnacentral:rRNA from 1 species
GCAAACUGCGAAUACCGGAGAAUGUUAUCACGGGAGACACACGGCGGGUGCUAACGUCCGUCGUGAAGAGGGAAACAACCCAGACCGCCAGCUAAGGUCCCAAAGUCAUGGUUAAGUGGGAAACGAUGUGGGAAGGCCCAGACAGCCAGGAUGUUGGCUUAGAAGCAGCCAUCAUUUAAAGAAAGCGUAAUAGCUCACUGGUCGAGUCGGCCUGCGCGGAAGAUGUAACGGGGCUAAACCAUGCACCGAAGCUGCGGCAGCGACACUAUGUGUUGUUGGGUAGGGGAGCGUUCUGUAAGCCUGUGAAGGUGUACUGUGAGGUAUGCUGGAGGUAUCAGAAGUGCGAAUGCUGACAUAAGUAACGAUAAAGCGGGUGAAAAGCCCGCUCGCCGGAAGACCAAGGGUUCCUGUCCAACGUUAAUCGGGGCAGGGUGAGUCGACCCCUAAGGCGAGGCCGAAAGGCGUAGUCGAUGGGAAACAGGUUAAUAUUCCUGUACUUGGUGUUACUGCGAAGGGGGGACGGAGAAGGCUAUGUUGGCCGGGCGACGGUUGUCCCGGUUUAAGCGUGUAGGCUGGUUUUCCAGGCAAAUCCGGAAAAUCAAGGCUGAGGCGUGAUGACGAGGCACUACGGUGCUGAAGCAACAAAUGCCCUGCUUCCAGGAAAAGCCUCUAAGCAUCAGGUAACAUCAAAUCGUACCCCAAACCGACACAGGUGGUCAGGUAGAGAAUACCAAGGCGCUUGAGAGAACUCGGGUGAAGGAACUAGGCAAAAUGGUGCCGUAACUUCGGGAGAAGGCACGCUGAUAUGUAGGUGAAGCGACUUGCUCGUGGAGCUGAAAUCAGUCGAAGAUACCAGCUGGCUGCAACUGUUUAUUAAAAACACAGCACUGUGCAAACACGAAAGUGGACGUAUACGGUGUGACGCCUGCCCGGUGCCGGAAGGUUAAUUGAUGGGGUUAGCGGUAACGCGAAGCUCUUGAUCGAAGCCCCGGUAAACGGCGGCCGUAACUAUAACGGUCCUAAGGUAGCGAAAUUCCUUGUCGGGUAAGUUCCGACCUGCACGAAUGGCGUAAUGAUGGCCAGGCUGUCUCCACCCGAGACUCAGUGAAAUUGAACUCGCUGUGAAGAUGCAGUGUACCCGCGGCAAGACGGAAAGACCCCGUGAACCUUUACUAUAGCUUGACACUGAACAUUGAGCCUUGAUGUGUAGGAUAGGUGGGAGGCUUUGAAGUGUGGACGCCAGUCUGCAUGGAGCCGGCCUUGAAAUACCACCCUUUAAUGUUUGAUGUUCUAACGUUGGCCCCUGAUCGGGGUUGCGGACAGUGUCUGGUGGGUAGUUUGACUGGGGCGGUCUCCUCCUAAAGAGUAACGGAGGAGCACGAAGGUUGGCUAAUCCUGGUCGGACAUCAGGAGGUUAGUGCAAUGGCAUAAGCCAGCUUGACUGCGAGCGUGACGGCGCGAGCAGGUGCGAAAGCAGGUCAUAGUGAUCCGGUGGUUCUGAAUGGAAGGGCCAUCGCUCAACGGAUAAAAGGUACUCCGGGGAUAACAGGCUGAUACCGCCCAAGAGUUCAUAUCGACGGCGGUGUUUGGCACCUCGAUGUCGGCUCAUCACAUCCUGGGGCUGAAGUAGGUCCCAAGGGUAUGGCUGUUCGCCAUUUAAAGUGGUACGCGAGCUGGGUUUAGAACGUCGUGAGACAGUUCGGUCCCUAUCUGCCGUGGGCGCUGGAGAACUGAGGGGGGCUGCUCCUAGUACGAGAGGACCGGAGUGGACGCAUCACUGGUGUUCGGGUUGUCAUGCCAAUGGCACUGCCCGGUAGCUAAAUGCGGAAGAGAUAAGUGCUGAAAGCAUCUAAGCACGAAACUUGCCCCGAGAUGAGUUCUCCCUGAGACUUAGAGUCUCCUGAAGGAACGUUGAAGACGACGACGUUGAUAGGCCGGGUGUGUAAGCGCAGCGAUGCGUUGAGCUAACCGGUACUAAUGAACCGUGAGGCUUAACCUUACAACGCCGAAG